AUUGAACGCUGGCGGCAUGCUUUACAUAUGCAAGUCGAACGGUAACAGGGAGCUUGCUCCGCUGACGAGUGGCGAACGGGUGAGUAAUGCGUCGGAACGUGCCGAGUAGUGGGGGAUAACGCAUCGAAAGGUGUGCUAAUACCGCAUACGUAUUGAGGUAGAAAGUGGGGGACCUUCGGGCCUCACGCUAUUCGAGCGGCCGACGUCUGAUUAGCUAGUUGGUGAGGUAAAGGCUCACCAAGGCGACGAUCAGUAGCGGGUCUGAGAGGAUGAUCCGCCACACUGGGACUGAGACACGGCCCAGACUCCUACGGGAGGCAGCAGUGGGGAAUUUUGGACAAUGGGCGCAAGCCUGAUCCAGCCAUACCGCGUGUCUGAAGAAGGCCUUCGGGUUGUAAAGGACUUUUGUCCGGGAGCAAAUGCUGGUGGCUAACAUCCACCGGAGCUGAGAGUACCGGAAGAAUAAGCACCGGCUAACUACGUGCCAGCCGCCGCCGUAACAC
rnacentral:rRNA from 1 species